GGAAUAGCCUCCUGGCGUAGUGGGAGGUGAGGAGCUUUUUUUGUUUUCCUUUUAUUUAUUUUAGGGACAGUGUCUUGCUCUGUUGCCAAGUUAAGUGCAGUGGUAUGAUCAUGAGCUCACUGCAGCCUUGACAUGGUGGGAAAGCCAUCCUCCCACCUCAGCCUUUCGAGUAGCUGGGACUACAGGUGUGUGCCACCAUGCCCAGAUGCCCAGCUAAUGUUUGUAUUUUUUGUAGAGAUGGGGGUCUCACUAUGUUGCCCAGGCUGGCCUCAAGCAAUCCUCCCACCUGAGCCCCGCAAAGACUCGGAUUACAGGUGUGAGUCACUGCGCCUGGCCGGGAGCUUUAAUUUUUCCUACUUGUUAACAGCGUUAUGGGGCUGGGAGGAGGCUCUCAGAUUUCCCUGCCCUCCUCACAUCCCCCAACCCCCCCUGGGCGUGGGGGUGUCAAGCAUGAGUCAGGCUGAGCCUGACUCUGAAGCUGUUCCCAGUUCUUUAGUCUAAACUUCAAAUCUUCAACCAACUCUGUUCCCUAAUCCAACACAUUCCCCAAAUGAAGGGACUGGACGGUGAGAUAUCGGGAAACCCCAUGAAAAUAGAUGCAUAAUAAAGGUGAAAAUCAUUUAAAAUGUUCCCAUUUUUUUUUUUUUUUUUCAAAACAGUCUUGCUCUGUCACCGAGGCUGGAGUGCAGUGGCGUGAUCUUGGCUCACUGCAACCUCCGCCUCCCAGGUUCAAGCAAUUCUCCCACCUUAGCCUCCCGAGUAGCUGGGAUUACAGGUGCGAGUCACCACACCCGGCUAAUUUUUGUAGUUUUUGUAGAGACGGGUUUUCACCGUGUUGGCCAGGCUGGUCUCGAACUCCUGGCAUCAAGUGAUCUGCCCACCUCAGCCUCCCAAAGUGUUAGGAUUACAGGCGUGAGCCACUGUGCCCGGCCCCCAGUAUUUUUUAAGCUCAAAUGAUCCCAUGUCCCCAAGACUGUGACAAACUAAAUAACCAAAAAAGUGUGGCCACGGUCCAGGUGGAAGGGGGCUGCCUGGAGGUACGUUCCCAUCAAAACCUGCUCCUGGGCAGGGUUCACACUGCUCACAGCAUCAGGGGUCAGCCAUCUUCUCUUGAAACCCCGUGAGUUGCAGGAGGCCCUGUUCUGUGCUCCUCAUUUCAAUCCCGGGAUCAGUCAAGUCUGGAGCCAAGGAGGCGGUUCACACGGGUCUUCCCUGGAAGGAGAGGGCGAUCUGCAGCAGUUCCUGGCCCAGCUCUUGCUGCCUCCCUCCAGGGCCAAACUCAGCCGACAGCUCCCGGAAAGUGACGCAGACGCGGCGGGCCUCGAUGUGUCUGCGGUGGAUGGCAUGCUUCCACUGGUGCCGUGCUGCCCCGACUGGGAGAGCUUCCAGGGGUCACGGUCCAUGAGCCGCACCAACUCGGCUUCUUCCUCCCGGGUCACAAAGUCCUCGAUCAGCAUCACUCCUGGGAAGGGGAAGGCCCAGCCCUCAAAGUCAGACUCCUCUGCGCCCACGGCCCAGCCGGUGUUGGAGCAGUAAAUGAAACGGUAUGUUUUCUGCAAAAGAAACACAGGUCCACAGGCUGGGCAACACAGCAAGACCCGGUCCCUACGAAAAGUUAAAACAGGCCAGGUGCGGUGGC
rnacentral:lncRNA from 1 species